CGGGAAACAAACAGCUGACUUAAUAGAGGCUUUGUGUUCUUUGAGAGGCUCUGCGAUGGAGAUCCCAGUGGAAAUUCUUGCCCAGAUCUUUUCCUACCUACCUCUCUGUGACAGAUACUUUGCAUCCUCGGUGUGCAAGGCAUGGGCUGAAGCCAUCUCGUUCCCAACUAUCUGGUAUUACACAGAGGUCAGACCUCUCAUGCUGGACGAUGGAAAUGCUGCCCCGCCAGUCUCCAAGUUUAGCCAUCCUCUGUCAAUGAAGCCUCUUCACAAUUCAUACUUUAUCGAGUCUGUAAGUCACGUGGAGUCGGGUGGUUGAAAACUACAACUCCCACAGUCCAUUUUUCUCUACUUACAAUAGCAUGGCAGGAACAACAAAUUGUAUGAUAAAGGCUGACUUUUUUUUUUUUUUUUGCCUUAUUGCUGCCAUCUACUGUUGAUUUUAGGAAUAAAAACCAAGCAGAAAAAUUAAUGCUUACAACUGCUUUGGGAACUUGAAGUUGACUUGUGCAUAUCUCUUAAACGCAUAUACCCGCAUUUAAGACCCACAAGUAUCCAGUUGAAGAAUCACGUUUUCUUGUGUAUUUUCAAACAUUAUGCUGCACGGAUUCGUCCACUCCCAGCUUACACUUGGACAUAUAUUUAUAUGAACGGAUACACGCUCAAUUAAGGGAUAUGUGUGUAUAUACCGGCACUCGCAUUCAUCCCUACCUACAUAAACUGUGGUAGAACACAUGUACCAAUACAAAUACUAAAAGAAAAUGAAGCAGAAGUGCCAAACCUCACUCAUUUUAGGAACUUUUUGUCCUGUUUCAGCAGUGACUUUUGUAAAAGGAGGGAAAUGAUAACACUAUGUAACACAA